UGCCUAGUAGCACAACGGUAGUGCAGUCGGCUUUUAACUGACAGGUUAUAGGUUCGAAUCCUAUCUAGGCAG
rnacentral:tRNA from 1 species